GUUUCUAUAGUUGAAUAACAACGAUGGUUUUUCAGGUCGUCGGUCUUGGUUAAAGUCCAUGUAGAAACC
rnacentral:tRNA from 1 species